GACGAACGCUGGCGGCGUGCUUAACACAUGCAAGUCGAACGGAAAGGCCCUGCUUUUGUGGGGUGCUCGAGUGGCGAACGGGUGAGUAACACGUGAGUAACCUGCCCUUGACUUUGGGAUAACUUCAGGAAACUGGGGCUAAUACCGGAUAGGAGCUCCUGCUGCAUGGUGGGGGUUGGAAAGUUUCGGCGGUUGGGGAUGGACUCGCGGCUUAUCAUCUUGUUGGUGGGGUAGUGGCUUACCAAGGCUUUGACGGGUAGCCGGCCUGAGGGGGUGACAGGCCACAUAGGAACUGAGAUACGGACCAGACUCCUACGGGAGGCAGCAGUGGGGAAUAUGGCAAAAUGGGCGGAAGCCUGAUGCAGCAACGCCGCGUGCGGGAUGACGGCCUUCGGGUUGUAAACCGCUUUCGCCUGUGACGAAGCGUGAGUGACGGUAAUGGGUAAAGAAGCACCGGCUAACUACGUG
rnacentral:rRNA from 1 species